rnacentral:rRNA from 1 species
GAACCAUCAAGUAGCUGGUUCCCUCCGAAGUUUCCCUCAGGAUAGCUGGAACUUAAGAAGAAGUAGUUUUAUCAGGUAAAGCGAAUGAUUAGAGGCUUUGGGGAAGAAACUUCCUCGACCUAUUCUCAAACUUUAAAUAGGUAAGAUUUGAAGGAUACUUAGGUGAUCUUUCAAUACAUUUGAAUAUAAAGUUCUUAGUGGGCCAUUUUUGGUAAGCAGAACUGGCGAUGUGGGAUGAACCGAACGUUAAGUUAAAGUGCCAAAUAAUACGCUCAUGAGAUACCAUAAAAGGUGUUGGUUCAUUUUGACAGCAGGACGGUGGCCAUGGAAGUCGGAACCCGCUAAGGAGUGUGUAACAACUCACCUGCCGAAUGAACUAGCCCUGAAAAUGGAUGGCGCUUAAGCGUAUAACUUAUACUUAACCCUUACUUGAAUCAUUAUAGCGAGUAAGGAGUAGGAGGG